rnacentral:lncRNA from 1 species
AUGUACUAAGAAGAUGAGUAAAAUCUUUGACACCAGAAUUGGACAGAUCAGGAAACAAUUUUUCUCAAGUUAUUUGGGAUCUUACUGGUUGGUAUUUGAGAAACAUAAUAAAUCCAGGAGGUACGAGGACAAUUCUUCCCACAACUCACACCCCUUAACCCAUACUUCUUCCCAGAGAAGGGAGCACAGGAGAAACAGGAGUGUUGAUGAGUGCCAGCUUAUAAAUAUCAAUACAAACAGACACACCUGGUAUGUCUAGCUGUUUUUGCCUUUACUCCAACCCAACGUGUUUCAUGGAAUACAAAGAUGGGGCUUCUACCCCAGCUCUCUUCUGAUUAGUAAGAAAAAAAAAAAAAUGAUAGGGCCUGGAGAAUUCAAGGAAGCCCGUUUCAAGCACUAAUAAAAUUGUAGCUGGAUUCCUUACCUCUUAUCCAACAUGAUUUCAAAAGCAAGAAAGUUGCCUUUCAUCUUGCCCCUACCAAAUCCAAAAAAGCAAAUUAUGGCCUAUUUCCUAAUCUAUUUAUUCUUAUUGUUGUUGUUACACUUGAACUUUCUGUUUGGAACCUCAUCUAUUUCUAAAAGGAAAGUCUGUAUAACUGUCAAGUGCAAAGUCCAAUUGCAGGAAUACUAAAUGUCCCAAGCUCACUUUAGAAAGUACAUGGGACAAUAAUAUAGUAUAAAAGAGAUCACAGAAACAAGGGGGAAAUAUAUAUUAGAGACCUCCAAAAAAAUUAUCUGAAAGGAGAAUACUUUAGCUGCUGUACUACCAGUUAUUUCUCUCUUAUGUCACCCAGGAAAGAGGUGGGGGAGAAUGGUGUUAAAAAUACAAAUAGUUUGGGAGGCCGAAGCGGGUGGAUCACGAGGUCAGGAGAUCGAGACCAUCCUGGCUAACACAGUGAAACCCCGUCUCUACUAAAAAUACAAAAAAUUAGCUGGGCGCUUGUAGUCCCAGCUACUCAGGAGGCUGAGACAGGAGAAUGGCGUGAACCUGGGAGGCGGAGGUUGCAGUGAGCCAAGAUCCGCCACUGCACUCCAGCCUUGGCGACAGAGUGAGACUCCGUCUCAAAAAACACCACCACCACCCACAAAUAGGCCAGGCGCGGUGGCUCACGCCUGUAAUCCCAGCACUUUGGGAGGCUGAGGCGGGUAGAUUACCUGAUGUCAGGAGUUCACGAACAGCCUGGCCAACAUGGUGAAACCCCGUCUCUACUAAGAAUACAGAAAUUAGCCAGGCGUGGUGGCGUGUGCCUGUAAUCCCAGCUACUGGGGAGGCUGAGGCAAGAGAAUCGCUUGAACCCUGGAGGCAGAGGUUGCAGUGAGUCGAGAUCGCCCCAUUGCACUCCAGCCUGGGCAACAGUGUGAGACUCCAUCUCCAAAAACCAAAAAAAACCACACACACACAAAUAACUGCAGUCUCCCAAGGUGUCAUUUAGGAAGUGCUAAAAACUAAAGUCUCAUUUAAUUUUCCUGAUCAACUCAUGUUCUAAUAAUUAAUGUGGAAGAAGAGAAAAGAAAGAGAAAACAAAUGAGAAUCUAAGGUAGUAAACAGCAGCAACUUAGCGGGAAUAAGGGGAACAUGGUUCUCACUAACCAGAUAGGACUGAUAAUGCUUCCAGAAAAUAAAAUAUUGGGUGAAAGGAAAUAUGGAAAUAUGUUUUACCUUCUACUAAUAGCUGCAGGCAGGAAGUUCUAAACGCAGGGUUUAACGAAGCUGGGUGAGCAGGGGACAUGUGCAGAGGGAAUAGUGAAAGAUAAUCAGUUUCAACCAUAACCCCCAUCUACUGUAGAGUAUAUCCAGAAAUCUAGACUACUAGUAUGGUAUACAUAUGCCCUAGAAGCAACUUAGGUAG